rnacentral:rRNA from 1 species
UUUAAUGGGAGGAAGGGGAAGAACCUUAACCAGUCUGACAUCCUUUGACAACCUAGGAGAUAGGGCUUUCCCUUCGGGGACAGAGUGACAGGGUGGUGCCAUGGUUGUUGGUCAGCUCGGUGUCGGGAGAUGGUGGGUUAAGUCCCGCAAGAGGGCAACCUUGAUCUUAGUUGGCCACCACUCCACCUCGGCCACUCUAAGGUGACUGGCCGGUGACAAACCGGAGGAAGGUGGGGGAGGACGUCAAAUCAUCAUGCCCCUUAUGACCUGGGCUACACACGUGCUACAAUGGACAGAACAAAGGGCUGGCAAGACCGCAAGGUUUAGCCAAUCCCAUAAAUCUGUUCUCAGUUCGGAUCGCAGUCUGCAAUUUGGAGUGGGUGGAAGCUGCCCCCCUAGUAAUCGGGGAUCAGCAUGCCGCGGUGAAUACGUUCCCGGGCCUUGUACACACCGCCCGUCACACCACGAGAGUUGGCAACACCCGAAGUCGGUGAGUAACCUUGAGGGACCAGCCGCCGAAGGUG